AUCUAACUGACGAGUCCCAAAUAGGACGAAACACAAGUCCUGGAU
rfam:Schistosoma mattheei strain Denwood, Zambia genome assembly, scaffold: SMTD_scaffold0007553